CAGCACCUGCGCAGAGGAGAAGCGGGCGGGUGGUCAGGCUCCCGGUCCGGGUGGGCCGGCGUCGGGGCCUCUAGAACUCGGCAUCUGUUUGACCGAAAUCCUACCGCGUUGAGUCCCCGGGGAUUUCCCCCAGAGAGCCUCGGUGGCAGAAAACGGUCAUCCCGGCGGAAGCUGGCUGGAGAGAACACCAGGACAGAGAGCCUCGCCCUGCCUGCGGCCUCGCCCAGCCUGGCGCCGUACACCCCCGUCACACAGACUCAUCUACACAGAGUACUCCUCAUCCUGACACAUAUACAUACGAUACACCGACAGAGAUCUGGUACACACACAGUAACCAGGCACGCACCAGACCAGGUCGGCCGAUGGAAACCCCGGACACGCUCAGAUACUCGGAGCCACGUAGACCAGGCCACAAAUAACAUCCUCUGAGUAGAGGAUGCCAGCACUGUGCUAGGUGCUGGGGGUACGAGGAGAGAUUCCAAGCACAGGGAACAAGAAUCGUGUGUACAAGCAGGGAGACAUUAUUAACUUGAUCAGUUAGCAAACAUGAAGAGUAAGACACCCAAACAAGUAAACAGUUACAAGAAAGAAUUAGUGCAAUAAUAAUGAUAUAAGUAAGGUACCACGGGAGCACCAAGAAGAGUGUAAUGCUGCCUGAGUUGCUUGAUUGGAGGUUACAGAGUGUUCUGUGUACUAAGAGCAUGCAUGGGCCGGCUGGAUGGUCAAAGGUGAGGUUAAGCCAGUGGCAGUAGGGACAUGAGACCUAUUAGUACAAUAAACUCAACUAAUUUGUUUAUAAAUAGAGGGAAGGGAAAAGGGAGAAGAGUCAAAGAUAAUUCCAGACUCGGGUAACUGGGUAAGUGUUGGUGCCACUGUCAGAGACAAGGAACGGGAGAGGCACUGUGUGAGUUGAGAACAUAUUGGUGAGUAAAAGCAGACACUGACUUUGCCCUCAUGGAUCAUGUAUAGUCAAGAUCAGCCUUUCUCAACUGGAGCUCUGAGACAGAAUUUUGUCAUCAAUCAAAUAACCAUGGAACUUCCCUGAUGGCACAGUGGUUAAGAAUCUGCCUGCCAAUGCAGGGGACACGUGUUCGAUCCCUGGUCCAGGAAGAUCCCACAUGCAGCGGAGUAACUAAGCCCACGAGCCACAACUACUGAGCCCACGUGCCGCAACUACUGAAGCCCGCGCGCCUAGAGCCCGUGCUCUGCAACAAGAGAAGCCACUGCAAUGAGAAGCCCUCGUACUGCAACAAAGAGUAGCCCCCACUCACCGCAACUAGAGAAAGCCUGCGUACAGCAACGAAGACCCAACGCAGCCAAAAGAAAAAAACUAUGUGAGGUAUCAAUGUAAAAUUGUAACUAUUAUAAGUAUUUAAGAAGGUGAGGUACGUGGUACAACAAGGAUGUAUAAUAGUGCCAUUGGACCUAAGGAGGAAGGUCAGGGGAGGGCUCCCUGAGGAGGUGACAUUUGAGUUGAGAUCUGAAGGAUAAAUAAAGGUUAAGUAAAGAUAGGAGAGUUGGGUAAACAGCAUGUGCAAAGAUCCAGAGGCAGGAGGGGACAUGGCAGAUAGGGGGGAACCAAAAUAGGCCAGUACUGGAGCACAGAGCACAAAAGGCAGCAUAGUAUAAGAUGAAACUGAAGGCAUUGGUAGGGACUGAGCCUUUUAGGACUUUACACGGUCACAGUAGUGUUCUCUUCUUUGUCCUAAGAUCAGUGGAAGCUGUGGACCUUGGAAGAGUUUUAAGCAGAGGAUGUUGUAUUUAUUUUUGCACUUUUAUUUCUUUAUUUAUUUUUAAAGAUUUGAUGUGGGCCGUUUUUAAAGUCUUUAUUGAAUUUGUUACAAUACUGCUUCUGUUUUAUGUUUUGGUUUUUUUGGCCGCGAGGCAUGUGGGAUCUUAGCUCCCCGACCAGGGAUCGAACCCGCACCCCCUACAUUGGAAGACGAAGUCUUAACCACUGGACCGCCAGGGCAGUCCCUAUUUUUUGCACUUUUAAAAACUCACUCCAGCUCCUGUGUGGAGAAUGUUUUGGAGGAUCCAAGAAGUGAUCAGUUAAUAAGACUUCUCAAUAGCCUAAGUGAGAGAUGAUGAUGGCUUGUACUAGGAUGAUGGCAGUGAAGAAGAAAAGUGGACAGAUUCUAGAGAUGUUUAACAGGUAAAAUCAGUAAGACUCGGUUAUAUACUUGAUAUGAAGGAAGUAACAGGUCAGUGAGGUGUUUGGUGGAAAUUCUUGAAGGCCAGGCGAAGUUUUGAUUGGAUCUAAUAGAUAGUGAAAAGCUGCAGUACAUAUUUGAGUAGGGAAAGGCCAUGCAAAGUUUGAGUUUAACAAAAGUCAGUCUGUCAGCAGCAUGGGGGGUAAAUCGGAGGUAGAUGAGAAUGUAGGCUGUUGGAAUGGUCCAGGUGACAUGAUUAAAGCUGCAUGAAACCAAGGCAUUCCCAGCGAGUAUGAAGAGAGGUUGAAAAGAUACAAUACCCAUUGGAGGAUGAGAGCAUGGAGGCUGUUUGGUUUGGCGGACAAGGGAGGGGAGUGAAGAGGACCAGGACAAUCUCUCCCUUCUUUCUGCAAGGUUGUGCUUCUCUCCCAUGACAUCAAGCUCAGUCAGCAGUUCAGUUCUCACCUGUCUCUGGGGCAGCACCAUGCCCUGCUGUGGUAGAAGAAGCCUUGGGAGCUAGCAUGGUCCUGUUGCUGCCACUGACAGGUAACAUUCUUCAGGUCCAAGGUAAAGCAUUGCAGUCCAAUUUCCACUGGGGUCAGAGAAGGAAGUCCCAUCAGAGCCCAUGUGCUCCUACUCUAUCGGGUGUCCAGAUCAUCUUUACACACGUAACUUGGAACAUUUACUCCUAUUCUGUCUUCUCUCCCUGAACAUAGUUCAUUCUGUCCAGUGGCAAGUUUGAGGUCAUCAGGAAGGACCAUGGUUUGCAGAGCUUCCAUAUCCAGCCCAGGCCUCUCUAGAGAUCUUUUCUAUCUCCUCCCCAUCUCCCCAUUCCUUUGUUGACUCACCUGCAUCCCCAGGCAGGUCCACGGUCACAGGGAGGGACCAAGAUCCCCAAGAGCCACGGAGGGAGACCCCAUCAGGUUGGCUGCGUAGCUGGAGCCAGUAGGAGUUCCCAGGCUGGAGCCCUGAGAGGAGACAGCUUCCACCCUUCACUGUCAUAGAUGGAGCCUUGGGAGAAGAAUCCCAGCCUCAGAAUCUAGGUCUGCCUCUCAGCCGAGAGAGCCUCCACCUCUUAUAUCUGAAGCCCCACAACAUGCCUGUGGAGAGACACUCAGUUCUUCACUGGAUAGAUAUGCACACAGACUGGGAGCCAGGUCAGUGGGUUUCGGGUGGAGUUCAGGGCUUUUUAAGGAAAUCCCCAUGAACUUGGAGGCCUGAAGCUCUCAAUCUUGUUGGUAUGAAUGACCCAAAGUGGGAGAUCCCUAAAUAGACAUGGCUCCUAAUCAGAGCCUAUACUAACUCUCUAAGGACCAACCCAGUCUGGAAUCCCCGAAGUAUGGCCUAUCCUUUCUUGGGGGCAGAAUUGUGGGCAGGAGAUCGGGAGGUGGAGCAGAAGAAGGCCAGGAUACUUCUCUAGUUGUGGGGCUCUGCUCUGGUACAUCCUGGUGGGGCAUCACGGGCUGAGCACACGGAGACGGGUCCGGAGCUGGGGCUAGGUUUGGUCUCCGCAGAGCUGGGCAGCAGGUUUCUGUGGACAGCAGCAGUGUGACUGUGGGACCCGUGGAGUUCCUUGGAUCCUUGGGGCCAUAGCGGAGUUCGUGCCUCAGAAAUUCACUGAUUUCGGGAGCUGGGACCUCCCAGCUGAUCUGAAGUUCCCCUGGCUGGCUCCCUCCCGUGGCCUUGAUGAGGCUGGGGGGACCUGGCAGGCCUGAAGGUGAGACAGGGCGCGUGAGAACUCUUUGGGGGCCACCGUCUACAGCUCAACCCAUGGACUGUGGAGCGGGGAUGCUGGAGGCUGGACGGAGGGCAGCCCCGGGGGCAGGGCAGGGAGGCUCCUCAUCCUGUUCUCCUGUCCUCAGAACAGUGACCUCACUGCAGGUUUGUUAGGCUCAGUCCUCCUCAAGAGCAGGGAUCUCUCUUCAUCUGUGCAUCCUUUUCACCUAGCACAGUGCCUGGCACAUGGUAGGUAUUCUGUAACUGCUGAAUGAGUGAGUCAAUGAAUAGGUUAAUGAUGGAAGGUCAGGGUGUCUCUGGUGUGAAAUGAAGUCUAGCUCUGGAUGCUGAGGCUAAGAGGAAUGAGAAGGGGGUCUUGAGGUGCCUCUGGGGGUCUGGUAGUGGGGGGACAUGCACAUCGUCUUGAAAGAGCACAGCUCAGUCUGACUCUAGGAGCUGGCCUGAGGGCAGCAAACGGGGGGGCCAGGAUGACAGGAGGACGGUCCGUACCCACACUAUCCACAGAGAGCACCCGCUGGGUCAGAUUCUGGUUCAGAAACACGUUCUUCACCCAGAGGUGCAGUUGAGAGAAGAGGCGCACUUCAUCCUGGGCUGGAAACUGGCACACGUACCGGGUUCCAAAGGGCAGCACACGCUGGGAACUCAGGGGGCAGGCACGGGGCUUCUCCCUGUGGGCACAGGAGAAGUCCAUCCUACCUACACGGCCACCUGUUCAGCCCUGAGGACCCAGGUCUGGGCCCAAACCCAAGUUCUAUUUCCAAUACUGCCAUUUUUCUUCUCAGUGCCUGGGUGGGAUUAGGGGUUACGUAGAGGGUGUGAGCUGGGUGUAUCCAAAGCACAUCUGUUCAUUAAGUGGCUACUUAGGGCAUGUACUUGGAGGAGUCCUCUGAUAGCGCCAAAGGCAGGGAAGCUACUGGAAUGGGCUCAGCUGUGGUAUGUACAGGACAGAUACAGGGGAGUGGUACAUACAUGGUACAUAUAUAUGAUAUAUAUGAUGCAGCACAUACCCUGGGUAGGCAUACAGCAGCUGAUAGAUUUCACUGGGCGCUGCUUCUUCCUCAUCCCAGAAGCAAGUGAGGUCCUCAAAUGUUCGGGAGAAACAGUUCAGGGACUCUGAGUCCGAGGCCAGCAAGGAGGCAUCUGAGGAAUAGCUGAGUGAUGAGGAAACUGAGAUGCAAAUAAAGACUUGCCUAAGAUGACACACCUCCUAAGAGGUAGAACUCAGGACAUCAAGCUUCAGAACCCAAGUGCUUGACAACCAUACCAGUGCCGCUGGAAGGUGUCAUUUGCCAAGAAACGACUGUCUGCCUUGCAACUGUGACAAAAUGGUGGCUAUUUCCACUCUAAUAGGUUCUGUCACUUUGUGCACAAAUAAACACGUUCUCCUUGGAACUACACAACAGCCUCCAUUGUGGGGACCCUCCACAGCUGCCUUUCAUCCUUCGCUACUCAAAGUGUGGUCCAUGGAUCAGCAGCAAGAGCAUUCCCUGGGAGUGUCUUGCAAAUGCAGACCCUUGGGCCCCGCCCCAGACCUUCUAAAACAGAAUCUGCGCUCUCUCCAAAUUCCCAGAUGAUGCGAAUACAUAUUAAAGCUUGAGACGCUCUGGUCUUCGGUACUUUUAUCAGGUUGGCUCAGAAUCAAGGGGUGGUUGGUCUCAGUCCUCCAGCUUGAGCUCAUCUUCACAUUAGUAGCGGAAGAGUGGGUGUGAUCCCUUCUCUGUAGCCCAGGCCCCCUCCUGGGACUGCUCUGACUGGUAGCUUUUAUGCCGAUUCUCAGGAGCUUUGACUCUCGCAGGGCAUGGGGCCAGUGUAGACCAUAUUAACUCCCACAUUUAGCCCCUCUGGCUUCAACUGGGGCGCCCCUUCCUGGCUUUACAGAGUUAGUAUCCUCAAUAUCACUUUUCUCUCUUCCUCCUGAAUUAAUGCUACUAACAGAGAAUUGUGGGAAGGGGUAGGAGGAGGGACAUGGAAACUACAGCUCCCCUGUGAAGUCUUAGCUUCUCUCGCACCAUUUCUCUGCAAGAAGUCCCUGAGGCUAGGUUUGUCCCGAUUCCUGUUCAGUUCUCAAGUUCCAAGGACCAGCUUCCUUUGCCCAACGGGGGUGACUUUGGACGCCUCUCCCAGACCCCAAUCAAGGGCCACCCAACCUCUGCCGGGUCAAGUGAGAGGGGAAACAACUCUAAUGUUCAUGCAGUCCCAUGGCUUUGAUGCUGUGUAUGUGCUGAUGGCUUCAAAAUAUCUCUAGCUGCGACUCCCCCUCCUGGGGUCCAGAUCUGGAUCACCAACUGCCUACUUGGCAUCUCUGCUUAUGUGUCUAAUGGGCAUCUUAUACUUAACGAUGGCCAAAGUAAAACUCUUGAUUCUGGUUCCCACCCCUAAACCGGUUUUGUUUCCUCUAGUCUUACCCACACUGUAAGUGGCACUACCAUCUACUCAGUUGAUCAAACCAGAAACCUCAGUGCUCCUUGAUUCCUGUCUUCCUCUUACCCUACAUUCAAUUCAUUAGCAAGUCCUGCCAGAUAGUCUUUCAAAAUGCACCCUGAACUUGCACCACCUCCACUGCUACCAUCCUAGUCCGUCCAAGUCUGGAUCACUGAGUAACUUCCUAACUAACUCCACUCUUAACCCCUCCGGCAGAUCCUCCACAGAACGGGAGUGAGAUGUUUAAAAUGCAAAUCAGAUUUCUUCACUCCCCUGCUUAAAACCCCUAACGGUUUCCUACUGCACUUAGAAUAAAAUCCAGACACCUCCGAGAGGCACACAAGGUCCUGCCUGAUCCGGCCCCUGCCUACUUAGAUCCCAUCUCCACCAGCCGCAAUAACCUCACUGUGUCUCUCAUCUUAAUCCUUCUCAUGCUCAACCUUUCUGCAGCUGAUACUCUCCUCCUUCCUUGUGUUCUGCAAUGUGUCACCUUCUCCUGGUUUCCUCCUGCUUCUGUAAUGUUCCCUCCCAGUUUCUCUCUCUCUUUGCUCUUUCUCUUAAAUGUUGGUGUUCCCCAGAUGUCCUUGUUUCCCCCUUCAUAUUCCCCGAGUGGUCUCAUGGCUUCAGUUCCAUCUAUAUACCAGUAACUCUCAAGGUUUUAUCACUCUUUUGAACUUCAAG